rnacentral:rRNA from 1 species
UACGGAGGGUGUGAACGUUGCUCGGAAUCAUUGGGCGUAAAGCGCACGUAGGCUGCGAGGAAAGUUGGGUGUGAAAGCCCUGGGCUCAACCCAGGAAGUGCAUUCAAAACUACCUCGCUUGAAUCUCGGAGGGGGUCAGAGAAUUCCCGGUGUAGAGGUGAAAUUCGUAGAUAUCGGGAGGAAUACCAGUGGCGAAGGCGCUGACCUGGACGAAGAUUGACGCUGAGGUGCGAAAGCGUGGGGAGCAAACAGG